UGGGGAAUUUUGGACAAUGGGCGCAAGCCUGAUCCAGCCAUGCCGCGUGCAGGAUGAAGGCCUUCGGGUUGUAAACUGCUUUUGUACGGAACGAAAAGGUUUGACUUAAUACGUUGGACUCAUGACGGUACCGUAAGAAUAAGCACCGGCUAACUACGUGCCAGCAGCCGCGGUAAUACGUAGGGUGCGAGCGUUAAUCGGAAUUACUGGGCGUAAAGCGUGCGCAGGCGGUUAUGUAAGACAGAUGUGAAAUCCCCGGGCUCAACCUGGGAACUGCAUUAGUGACUGCAUAGCUGGAGUACGGCAGAGGGGGAUGGAAUUCCGCGUGUAGCAGUGAAAUGCGUAGAUAUGCGGAGGAACACCGAUGGCGAAGGCAAUCCCCUGGGCCUGUACUGACGCUCAUGCACGAAAGCGUGGGGAGCAAACAGG
rnacentral:rRNA from 1 species